CAGGGAAGGUUAUGUCGAAUUUUCUGUAUAAAUUUAGGCUUAGGGUUUUCACCAUUUAAUUAUUUUUGGCCAGCUAAAAAAAACACCAGGGGGCCUAGUUGAAUGUUAAAGCAGGCACAGAGUGUACGUCUGAUCGUGUCCAGGAUCAAGAUUGAGUAUGACCUGCGACAUCGUGGAACGGCUACCUCACAGCAGUAUAGCAGUGUCGCUAGUAGCUAUGAUGUUGUUAUCAAACAAAAUUGUCCUAUGUAGAUGAGGGCCCGAGACGAGCAGAUUAAGGCCCAAGGCGAGCAGAUUAGGACCCAGGGCGAGAAGAUGAAGGCCUAUGUCGGGCACGUGAGAGACCUUGUACGAGCCAUACAGAUGUCGACCUCCAAAUCUCGCUACUAGUACCUGAUCUUGCUACACCUUCGACCUUCGAGCCACUUUGCCCUGCUGAUACCUAGUAGUCUAAUGUAUCAAACCUAAAAGACUACUUGUAGUUUUUUCUUUUUUUGUUCGAGCAUCUUGUAUGUACAUUUUCAUAUAUUUUAUAAUUAAAUACUUUUCCUUGGUUAA